rnacentral:precursor_RNA from 14 species
AGGCGCCCGUGCCCUUCCCUGGCGUGAGGGUAUGUGCCUUUGGACUACAUCGUGGAAGCCAGCACCAUGCAGUCCAUGGGCAUAUACACUUGCCUCAAGGCCUAUGUCAUCGAGGAGC